UACGAAGGGGGCUAGCGUUGUUCGGAAUUACUGGGCGUAAAGCGCACGUAGGCGGACUAUUAAGUCAGGGGUGAAAUCCCGGAGCUCAACUCCGGAACUGCCUUUGAUACUGGUAGCCUAGAGAUCGGAAGAGGUGAGUGGAAUUCCCAGUGUAGAGGUGAAAUUCGUAGAUAUUCGGAGGAACACCAGUGGCGAAGGGCGGCUCACUGGCUCGGUACUGACGCUGAGGUGCGAAAGCGUGGGAGCAA
rnacentral:rRNA from 1 species